AGUGAACGCUGGCGGUAGGCCUAACACAUGCAAGUCGAACGGCAGCACAGUAAGAGCUUGCUCUUACGGGUGGCGAGUGGCGGACGGGUGAGGAAUACAUCGGAAUCUACUUUUUCGUGGGGGAUAACGUAGGGAAACUUACGCUAAUACCGCAUACGAUCUACGGGUGAAAGCAGGGGAUCUUCGGACCUUGCGCGAUUGAAUGAGUUGAUGCCGGAUUAGCUAGUUGGCGGGGUAAAGGCCCACCAAGGCGACGAUCCGUAGCUGGUCUGAGAGGAUGAUCAGCCACACUGGAACUGAGACACGGUCCAGACUCCUACGGGAGGCAGCAGUGGGGAAUAUUGGACAAUGGGCGCAAGCCUGAUCCAGCCAUACCGCGUGGGUGAAGAAGGCCUUCGGGUUGUAAAGCCCUUUUGUUGGGAAAGAAAAGCAGCAGGUUAAUACCCCGCUGUUCUGACGGUACCCAAAGAGUAAGCACCGGCUAACUUCGUG
rnacentral:rRNA from 1 species